GGGGCAUGCGAGGGCUGUCGCUGACUCAAAGUCGUGCACGCCCGAGUGUGUUGCCUCACAUAAUAAUCCAUCUCACCCUUUGUGCAUCACCGCGUGGGCACCCCUUUGGGAUCAUCUCGGAGGGGGCUCGCGUUUUCACACAAAACCCCCCUUUUAAAAGUGUAGAAUGACCUCAUUUAUGCGCUAACCCGCAAUCAAUACAACUUUCAACAACGGAUCUCUUGGCUCUCGCAUCGAUGAAGAACGCAGCGAAAUGCGAUACGUAAUGUGAAUUGCAGAAUUCAGUGAAUCAUCGAAUCUUUGAACGCACCUUGCGCCCCCUGGUAUUCCGUGGGGCACACCCGUUUGAGUGUCGUGAAAACCUCAACCUCCUUGGUUUCUUCUGGAGACCAAAGCAGGCUUGGACUUUGGAGGCCUUUGCUGGCACCUCUCGCCAGCUCCUCUUAAAUGAAUUAGCAGGGUCCUCUUUGCUGAUCCUCGACGUGUGAUAAGAUGUUUCCAUGUCUUGGUUUCUGGCUCUGUCACCUUUGGNACCCGCUUCUAACCGUCUUCAACCUUGCGNUGAGACAGCGUUCGAGCAUGUCUCCCUUCUCGGGAAGCUCCCUCGACCCCACGAACCCUUGA
rnacentral:rRNA from 1 species